UACAUCAAUUAUUCGAGCACUAAACUAAAGUCCGGAAAUUAAAUUCAUCAUCGCGGGAUUAAUUAGCGGACCAUCAAUUAUUUGACCGGGCAAAACAUUAGGAGGGCCCGUGAAUUAAUUUGACACAGCAGGCCCAACUUAAAGCAAUUAAUCCAUUCCUUCAUUUAAUAUUUUCAGGCCCAAGCUUCCAUUCUAAGUAAAACAUUAGCCCAACAAAUUAUGUCCUUGACCCCAAAGGAGUGGCCCAAUUAAAAGAAAUUAAGUGGCCCAAUUUUACUCAUAAACUCCAUCGGUCUUCUCCCUCAUUUCAACAUUCCCAAAUUGGGGAAAAAUCAAAUCCCUAAAAGAAAACCGCCGCUCCCCUCCUCUCCUCCGUCCGGUGCAUCACUCCGGGCAUGCACGGCGGCGGUCUCUCUGCACUUGGCGUCGCACCGAGGCCACCGUCUCGCAGCUAGAGCAGCAGCUGCCCCGAAGGCAGCUCACAGCUUCUGCCGACGCCAUACGCUCCUCCGUCGGCUAGGCUCGGAGCCUCCCGACGCCCCUUCCCUAAGCUAAGUUCCUCAUCCUAGAAUUUCAGUUCUUGACUCAGCAUUUUAUUUAGAAUUUUGUGUUUUAGGCUUGGUCGAAACUGAGUUAGGAGGGACAAGCACUAACCUAAAUCCUUUUAUCAUUUAGAAAUUGAGAGAUGUUGCUGUAAGGGUCUAAAGCUUGAGAUGGAUUAACAUUUUGUUCUUCUGUUCCAUUUUAUAUAAGUGCAUGCUUGAGCUUGAGUGCUACUGCUCUUCUAUCACGUUGUGUUUUUUUUGAAGUGUUGGUGCUUUAACAUGCUUGAGGUUUGGUUGCUACAUGAUGACAUGACAAUUUAAUUGCGUUUGAAAAGUAGGUGGAGGUUACCUUCUUGCAAAGUAGUUGUUGUUUCUUUGAGUUCCCUGUUCCUAGACUCAAGUUCGAUCACCUACUUCGGAGUUCCUAUGGGGAGUAGGGGCUGCCUGCAAUAAUCCUGCAGAAACUUUACCGAGCUCCCUCACUCUGAAACUUGCUAUUGUGGCUGAAUUUUCUAAGUGUGUGGAAGGGAAAUUUGAUGUGUGUGAAGGGGUUUAUAUAGGCAAAACUUGGUGUACUUUGGGGAAUUAAAUGGAACUGUUGUAUUACUUUGUUCUCUUUUUGCAGCAAAUCCUCUUUUUUUAAUCAUGCAGCAAACUUUAACUGCAAUUUGGCUUGUUUCAUGGAAUAAUUAAUGGCCUUGUCUUUCUUAUGCAGCUUUCGGUUGUGGGAGUGGUAGUGCAGGAGCAUACCUGCCAUUUUAGGCAAAACUCCAAGUUUCCUUCAAAAGUGUGGUAGUCAUUGGAGGGAGGGUUGUUGGGUGCUAUUGGGCUGACUCUUGGGCCAAUCUUCGGGCCGAUAGCUCUCCGCCAACAGGUCGAACUAACAGGCCUCGAAGAGGGGGUGGCUUGGGAUUGUAAGAAAAAGACUCAAAGCAUUUCCAUUUUGACAUUCAUAUGUAUUAUUUUUUGUAAGCUAAGCCAUAGCUUGGAAUGUAACUACAUUGUAUCUCAUUUACUUGAAAGAAUAAACGAACGCGCAUUCAUCCUUAA